GACGAACGCUGGCGGCGUGCUUAACACAUGCAAGUCGAACGGAAAGGCCCUGUUUUUGUGGGGUCUUCGAGAGGCGAACGGGGGAGUAACACGUGAGUAACCUCCCCUUGUCUUUGGGGUAAAUUAUGGAAACUGGGGUUAUAACCGCACAGAAGAACUUGAUGCAUGGGGGGGGUGGGAAAAUUGCGGCGUUUGGGGAUGGAAUUGCGGUUUAUCAGUUUGUUGGUGGGUUGGUGGGUUACAAGGGCUUUGACGGGUAGCCGGCCUGCGAGGGUGACCGGCCACAUUGGGACUGAGAUGCGGCCCAGACUGCUACGGGAGGCAGCAGUGGGAGAUAGUGCACAAUGGGCGGAAGCCGGAUGCAGGAACGCCGCGUGCGGGAUGACGGCCGGCGGGUUGUAAACCGCGUUCGAGUGGGACGAAGCGUGAGUGACGGUAAUGGGUAAAGAAGCACCGGCUAACUACGUG
rnacentral:rRNA from 1 species